CAAAUUAGAGCUUGAAUAAGUUUUUCAUUUACAUUGAAAAGAUAUUAAAUAUAUUAAUUAAUUUGGUUUAAUAAAAUUAA
rnacentral:tRNA from 1 species